AGAGAUGAUUCAAGACAAAGGGUUCCAAUGCCCGCGGAGAUACGCCGUACCCGACCGCUAGGGGGCAGCACUGCUGCCAGUUGUGGUAGUGACACAAACUACCAUCUUCAGAGAUUGCUCCACAGGAUGAACCAAAAACAGAGACAUGAUUUCUAGACACUGAAGAGUUAAAUGGAAGUUAAAGUACUUUCACUGCUUCAUCCUCGCAGUGGAAGAAAAGGUGUUCUUUCUGGCAGGUGCCACUCUGAAGUGGGGAAGAGAGAUACACAUUGAGACAGCUCCACCCAACAACAGACCAACAAGCUCAUAACCUCAUGUUAACUUACUGUGUGUAUAUAUACUACAUGGAUUUGGGGUGGACAUUAGACCUCAUAAUACAGUAUAUUUUUAUCCACAGAUGUCAUGGGGAAAGCUAGAUUCCAAGUGCAGACAUAUGUGCUGAUUGAUAUUGGUAAUGUGCUGUGCCAUUUAGACUCACUGAGACCAAUUCACCUCACCAUUGCAGCCCUUACCAUAUUCCUCGGAUAUUGAAGUCUCCCAGACUGGCAUUCUCAGGAGCACAGCUAGAAUGCUCUGAAUUCCAGCUAUUUCUGGCUGCUGCAAUGGCCUCAUGGGGCCAUGGACUGCCAAAUGUAAGCUAGGGUGACACCUCAAGUUGCUCUAACAUAUGCCUGAGUGAGGCCAAAACAGCCUCAGUCCAGAAUAAGGGAGACACAGACAUGGAAUAAAGGCACUUUUGCCUCUUCCCACUACCACUUAGUUCUGUGCCAAACUCAGUUCUAGCACAGAGAAUAAUUAGUUCCUUUAUAUGCCAUAAUUUCUGGUGGCCAAAUGUCUGUGUAAACAUGUGACAACAUAAUCUGUUUACAGACGGAUAACAAAAUAUGUGCAUACUUGCAAAAGAUCUCUGAUCUAUGCUGACUGAUGAUAACUUUAGUGCAACACAUGGUCAGUAAAACUCCAAUUGACAUCCAGGA